CGGCGGACGGGUGAGCAAUAUUUGGGAAUCUGCCUAUUAGCGGGGGACAACCCGGGGAAACUCGAGCUAAUACCGCAUACGCUCUACGGAGGAAAGCCGGGGACCGCAAGGCCUGGCACUAAUAGAUGAGCCCAAAUCGGAUUAGCUAGUUGGUGAGGUAACGGCUCACCAAGGCGACGAUCCGUAGCUGGUUUGAGAGAACGACCAGCCACACCGGAACUGAGACACGGUCCGG
rnacentral:rRNA from 1 species